UUUUGCUGACGACACGAAACCGAAACAUUUGGUAUUUUCCGAAAAUUAGUCAACGCGUUUCGUAUUGUGACUAAAAUAACCCACAUAAAAACUAUACGAUCACAGACAUAUAUCAAUUUGGAAUUCUUAACUCAACGCAUUCUGAAUCUUGAUAAUAUAUAAAUCACUAUUGUAAAGAUAAGUUGAAAUACUGUAUAUUGGCUUACAAAGGAUAUUUACUCGAAAAGUUGUAAGUUUAAUAAUAUGUUAUUAACAUUCAUCGCAUUAUUAAAUGGAGUGGACUUACUGCAUUCAAAGGGCUGAACAAAUCGCGGUUAAAUUCGAAAAACUACAAACAAUGAACUGAUUAUACAAAUCAUUUUUAUAAAGGUAAUAUUAUAUGUGCUAUUGUUAUUAUUUAUUGUUUCUUUAAAUAUAUUUACGUAAGGAUCUAUCAAUAACAGUUUUUAUUGAUAGAUUUUUGAAAUGCCACGGACGAAAUAUUUAUAUGUCGAUGUAAGGAAACACAAACAUAAAAAAUGCCCUGCUCUCUAAUUUCGGCAUAAGGCAACUGAUGAAAACAAAUCUUAACAAUUGAUAUCUACAUUCGAAGGACUACACAAUGUAUCCGUCUUAAAACAAAAACAUUUUAAUUCGACUUUGCACUGAACAAUCCGAGCUAUACAACUCACCUAAAUAUCGGCGUCAGUGUCCGCUAACUCCCUUUAUAAAGUAACCGAGCGAAACAUCUAUAUUACUGUUUCUGCUAACAUAGAGGUCCGAGCCAUGCAUUUGCUCAACAUUUGCAGCGGAACAAUUUUGAAAUAAAAACAUGCUUUGUGCAUUAUUUCUUCUCAUGUAAUGUCUGUGGUGCUUCAUUUCAACAUGAUUAAACCAAACAAUAUUGAAAAGUCGUUCCUGCAAUAUUCAGGUUGGAGACAAUGGAAGACAAUUAUGAUGCAAAGACGAGGACGGUAUAUUGUCUGCCGGGUAUGCCGGCAUUGCCUCGUGAAACAGGAACAAGGAACAAGGGGAAACUACAAACAACUAAGAACGAGUAUCAAUCCGUACACGCUGAAUAACUGAGAAGGUGGCGCGCACGAAAAGUCAAUAGAAAAUGUGUUCGACGUCAGGAACGAGAAAAAAAGAUAGCCACACAAAAGCAACGCCAGAUGAGACGACCCCCAUACCCACUGCUACGAUAUCUCUUCUCUUCGGACAGUUACCGCAACCAGCUCUGCCGCCAUAUAAAUGAAAACACAUGGGCAAUUAGUAGGCUACACGGCGACGCACUUAAAAAGUUAACAAAUUACUUACACGUGGAUUGAAUUAAUCACAAUUUAUGUCCUUGGUAGAUGUGCAAAGUAAACUGUAUGUGUCAUUAACAAAAUUAAUGGGAUUGAUUGAACUAAAUUAAUCUGUAACAUAUCUUUGUAUAGUGUGCUUCCCAUAGUCCAUCUCCAUCUGAAUAGAAAUGUUGCUUGUUCAUACAGCAAAUGUUUAUGUUGGUUUUGGAUACACAAGCACAAAUACAUAGACGAGAUUACACGGAAUGCAUGAACAUUAAUGCUUAUUAAUAUUAAAUAACUGACCGAAAUAUAAAUAUAAGAUGCAAUCAAAAGAAAUACGUAAAAUGGUGUUACCAGAAGCUAAACCUAACUUUCACUGUAAUUAAUAUAAGGAAACAACCCUGCAAUUAAAGAAUCAAUACCAUGGUUUUGUGCAGGAAAAUUCCCCUUAAUGCCAGAUUACAUCUACAAAAAAAUGUAUAUAUUCAGACAAUUUUAUUUUGAAAUAAAUUUAAAUUAAU